rnacentral:lncRNA from 1 species
UCAUCCCCCCGGAGGUGCUGAGGAGUCUGAUCCACCUGAAAAGGUGUCAAUAUUUUUACAAUGUUUUGCAUAAACCAACAGAAAGAACUACAUGUGCAUCAGUAAGAAACUUGUGAACUAAGUGUUUCUCAAAAUUUGGUUUGUAUCAGAAUAUCCUCUGAACGCUCUUGAAAACAUGCCUCUUCUGCAUUUUGAGCUCUGGUAAAUAAUUCUGACAUAAAUUGACUUCCAAAGUUAUGGUGCUACAGUGCUUUACCUACUACAAAGGAAAAAGGAGGACCAGAAGCUAGAUUCCAUAUAUUUGAUUGCUUUUGGCUGCCACAGGUAUAGGACUGUUGAUAUGACAGAACAUUUUAAUAGUAUCCUACCUUCUAUCAGUGCAUUUUAUUUUCUAC